CCGGUAAACGGCGGCCGUAACUAUAACGGUCCUAAGGUAGCGAAAUUCCUUGUCGGGUAAGUUCCGACCUGCACGAAUGGCGUAAUGAUGGCCAGGCUGUCUCCACCCGAGACUCAGUGAAAUUGAACUCGCUGUGAAGAUGCAGUGUACCCGCGGCAAGACGGAAAGACCCCGUGAACCUUUACUAUAGCUUGACACUGAACAUUGAGCCUUGAUGUGUAGGAUAGGUGGGAGGCUUUGAAGUGUGGACG
rnacentral:rRNA from 1 species